rnacentral:rRNA from 1 species
UACGUAGGGGGCAAGCGUUUUUCGGAUUUACUGGGCGUAAAGCGCACGUAGGCGGGUCGUUAAGUCGGGGGUGAAAUCCCGGAGCUCAACUCCGGAACUGCCUUCGAUACUGGCGAUCUCGAGUCCGGGAGAGGUGAGUGGAAUUCCGAGUGUAGAGGUGAAAUUCGUAGAUAUUCGGAAGAACACCAGUGGCGAAGGCGGCUCACUGGCCCGGUACUGACGCUGAGGUGCGAAAGCGUGGGGAGCAAACAGG